CCGAAAGAUCGAAUGAGGAGACUCAACGUUAGCGUGGUUGGCUUUCGUGUGGUCCGCGAUGUUUGAGACGGCGUGCGUUCUGCGUGCGCUUGUCGAUUUCACGCGUCCACUGCGUAAUGUCCGAUUACGUUGGCGUGCACUUCUCCUCUAGUAGAACGUCGCGACCCGCUGGGUGCCGGUUUAAGGGCCGAGAUCGUCGACUGUUUCCGUCGUUUCGCGACGCACGGUUACAGACGCUCGGUUUUUCAUUACCCACCGACCGGCUGCUCGGCGGUAAGCACAUGGUAUCGAGCCGCACUCGAAUGCGUUCUCUAAGACACGUCGCAAGCCCUAUCACGUUAUUAACCCCGGAUGUACGGACCUAGUGCCGUCCCCGGGGGUGGUUAGCUGUUGGUUGACGUUGUUCUCGAACAGGCUAAAAUUGUUAAACACAAUAAUAAAACGAUACCGGUCGGCGACGCUAUUGCUUUGGGUGCUUUCAGGACCCGUCUUGAAACACGGACCAAGGAGUCUAACAUGUACGCGAGUCAUUGGGAUAUUAAAACCUAAAGGCGCAUUGAAAGAGAAGAUCGGCCUCGCGUCGAUUCAGGGAGGAUGGGUAACGCCGUAAGAUGUUGCCUCGCACUCCCGGGGCGUCUCGUUGUCAUUGCGACAUGAGGCGCACCCAGAGCGUACACGUUGGGACCCGAAAGAUGGUGAACUAUGCCUGGUCAGGACGAAGUCAGGGGAAACCCUGAUGGAGGUCCGUAGCGAUUCUGACGUGCAAAUCGAUCGUCG
rnacentral:rRNA from 1 species